rfam:Desulfotomaculum gibsoniae DSM 7213, complete genome.
CGAAUCCCACCCAGCAAGGUUGAGCCGACCACUGGUAGUUAGCCUUGGAGUGUAAAUGGUAACAUAUUUACAUUUAAGCGUAGGUAAACAAGGUAAUGGGCCGAAAGUCUGAGAACUGAAUGGGAAUUAGCCUCGAAAUCCCUAAUUGGGAAGGCUGAUGUGUUGGACUG